ensembl:misc_RNA 7SK 7SK RNA
AGAUGCUAUGGCUCUGGGGCUAUGGUCUCUCUCCCUUUUUCUGUCUAUAGGAAUGCAAAAAAGAUCGGCUGAUCUGGCUGGCUAGGCAGGUGUCCCCUUCCUCCGUCACCACUCCAUGUGCGUCCCUCCAGAAGCUGCGCGCUAGGUCAAAGAAGACGGCCUUCCCCGAAAAGAGACAGACUGGUCUUCGGUCAAGGAUAUACGAGUAGCUCUAUUCUUUUCUCUAUUUGAAAAUGUCCUUAGAGACAGCACCUCUAUUAGCAGUGCCUAUAAAGCUACCUUAAGGAAUCAAUUCCUGGAAUAUAACUAAUAAGCAGGAUCUCUAAGUCAUAUGGGACUA